rnacentral:rRNA from 1 species
GAUGAACGCUGACAGAAGGCUUAACACAUGCAAGUCAACUUGAAUUUGGGUUUUUAACUUAGGUUUGGGUGGCGGACGGGUGAGUAACGCGUAAAGAACUUGCCGCACAGCUAGGGACAACAUUUGGAAACGAAUGCUAAUACCUAAUAUUAUGAUAAUAGGGCAUCCUAUAAUUAUGAAAGCUAUAAGCGCUGUGAGAGAGCUGUGCGUCCCAUUAGCUAGUUGGAGAGGUACCGGCUCACCAAGGCGAUGAUGGGUAGCCGGCCUGAGAGGGUGAUCGGCCACAAGGGGACUGAGACACGGCCCGUACUGCUACGGGAGGCAGCAGUGGGGAAUAUUGGACAAUGGACCGAGAGUCUGAUCCAGCAAUUCUGUGUGCACGAUGAAGUUUUUCGGAAUGUAAAGUGCUUUCAGUUGGGAAGAAACAAAUGACGGUACCAACAGAAGAAGUGACGGCUAAAUACGUG